rnacentral:misc_RNA from 1 species
GAUGAAGAACUUAGCGAAAUGCGAUAAGUAGUGUGAAUUGCAGAAUUCAGUGAAUCAUCGAAUCUUUGAACGCACAUUGCGCCCCUUGGUAUUCCAUGGGGCAUGCCUGUUCGAGCGUCAUUUACACCCUCAAGCUCUGCUUGGUGUUGGGCGUCUGUCCCGCUGCUUUGCGCGGACUCGCCUCAAAGGUAUUGGCAGCGAUCAUGCCAGCUUCUCGCGCAGCACAUUGCGCUUCUUGAAGUUCUGGUGGAUCAGCGUCCAUUAAGCUUACCUUCAUGACUUGACCUCGGAUCAGGUAGGGAUACCCGCUGAACUUAAGCAUAUCAAUAAGCGGAGGA